rnacentral:rRNA from 1 species
UACAGAGGGUGCAAGCGUUAAUCGGAAUUACUGGGCGUAAAGCGUGCGUAGACGGUAGCGUAAGUCGGGUGUGAAAGCCCCGGGCUCAACCUGGGAAUUGCAUUCGAGACUGCUCUGCUAGGGUGCGGAAGAGGGAAGCGGAAUUUCCGGUGUAGCGGUGAAAUGCGUAGAUAUCGGAAGGAACACCAGUGGCGAAGGCGAGUCUCUGGACAUUUCCUGACGCUGAGGCACGAAAGCCAGGGGAGCAAACGGG